rnacentral:rRNA from 1 species
CCUACGGGGGGCAGCAGUCGAGAAUCUUGGGCAAUGCGCGAAAGCGUGACCCAGCAAUGCCGCGUGCGGGAUGAAGGUCUUCGGAUUGUAAACCGCUGUCACUCGGGACGAACAAAAUGACGGUACCGAGGGAGGAAGCCACGGCUAACUACGUGCCAGCAGCCGCGGUAAUACGUAGGUGGCGAGCGUUGUUCGGAUUUAUUGGGCGUAAAGGGUCCGCAGGAGGUUUGUUAAAAUUGGGGUGAAAUCCCGGAGCUCAACUCCGGAACUGCCUU